rnacentral:rRNA from 1 species
UGCAGUCGUACGGACACCUUCGGGUGUUAGCGGCGGACGGGUGAGUAACGCGUAGGAAUCUACCCCUAGGAGGGGGAUAACAGCUGGAAACGGCUGCUAAUACCCCAUACAGGCGCGAGCUGAAAGGAGCAAUCCGCCUAGGGAUGAGCCUGCGUCGGAUUAGCUAGUUGGUGGGGUAAUGGCCUACCAAGGCGACGAUCCGUAGCGGGUCUGAGAGGAUGGCCCGCCACACUGGGACUGAGACACGGCCCAGACUCCUACGGGAGGCAGCAGUGGGGAAUUUUCCGCAAUGGGCGAAAGCCUGACGGAGCAAUACCGCGUGAGGGAGGAAGGCCUUCGGGUUGUAAACCUCUUUUCUGGGGGACGAAGGAGUGACGGUACCCCGGGAAUAAGCCUCGGCUAACUCUGUGCCAGCAGCCGCGGUAAGACAGAGGAGGCGAGCGUUAUCCGGAGUUAUUGGGCGUAAAGAGUACGUAGGCGGCUGGUCAAGUCUGAGGUUAAAGACCACAGCUUAACUGUGGGGGGGCCUUGGAAACUGACCGGCUGGAGUGGGGCAGGGGUUGCGGGAAUUCCCGGUGUAGCGGUGAAAUGCGUAGACAUCGGGAAGAACACCUGAGGCGAAAGCGCGCAACUGGGCCCUAACUGACGCUGAGGUACGA